rnacentral:rRNA from 1 species
GAUGAACGCUGGCGGCGUGCUUAACACAUGCAAGUCGAACGGAAAGGCCUCUGCUUGCAGGGGUACUCGAGUGGCGAACGGGUGAGUAACACGUGGGUGAUCAGCCCUGCACUUCGGGAUAAGCCUGGGAAACUGGGUCUAAUACCGGAUAGGACAAUGGUUUUGAUGCUGUUGUGGAAAGUUUUUCGGUGUGGGAUGAGCUCGCGGCCUAUCAGCUUGUUGGUGGGGUAAUGGCCUACCAAGGCGUCGACGGGUAGCCGGCCUGAGAGGGUGUACGGCCACAUUGGGAAUGAGAUACGGCCCAGACUCCUACGGGAGGCAGCAGUGGGGAAUAUGGAACAAUGGGCGCAAGCCUGAUGCAGCGACGCCGCGUGGGGGAUGACGGCCUUCGGGUUGUAAACUCCUUUCGCUAGGGACGAAGCGUUUUUGUGACGGUACCUGGAGAAGAAGCACCGGCUAACUACGUG